ACACUGCGUAAGGCACCACAGCCUGAGGCUUCUGCGUCCCAACGUGAUGACGUCGCAGCCUAUCGUGAAGGGCUGAGGAAACCCGCUUUGAAGAUGGGAAGGGACCAUGUGGCAAGGAAUGCACUGGCCUCUAUUUGCUGAGAGGACCCCCUACCUGAUGGCUAGCAAGGAAAUAAGGACCAUUAUCCUACAACAACUAAAAGGAGUUGACUUCUGCCACAACCAUGUGAGCCUGGAAGAGGACUGAGCCUGGAAGAGGACCCCAAGCUCCAGACGAGAACACAGUCUGGCAGACAUCCUUAUUUCAGCAUCAUGAGAAUCUUAACAGAGAACUCAGUCACACCGUGCUGGAUUUCUGAACUACAGGCCUGUGAAAUAAAUGAGUGUUGUUUUAAGCAA